rnacentral:lncRNA from 1 species
CUUUAGGCAGAUUGCCUUUGCUCUGAUCCUAACACAGCAACAACACUUUCAAACUCAAGACUUUAUAAUUAAGGCAUGAUGAUUAUUUGCAGGACAGUGCAGGGUUGUAAUGCAGUCUAAAAAACAAGUCUCUAUAAAUAAUAAUAAAACCUAAGGGAGGUUGCACAGACUGAUGAAAGAAUACAUGUUAGAUGAACCAGUAAUAUCUGCUUCCUUGAAGUAUCUCAUUAGCAUUUAUCAAGUAGUUAAUGGUCUCAAAACACUUGACAGUUAAUCCAUAGAACAUCCUUUGUAGAUAAUUAAAUAUUCUGAUCUGAACUUUCAGAGGCAGACACACCAAGCAGCCACGAGACUUGACCGGAAGGACAAGACAGGAAGCCAGUGUUGAAAUAGGUGAUCAAUAACUGCGUGGUCCCCAGAGAGAUGACUGUUCAUGCAACUCUUCAGUGUGCCCUUUCAGAGUCACGAUGAAAACCCAGGCAAGAAGAAAACUUUUUUAACGUUCGUAAACUUAUAUUUGGUUCAAUAAAAAUGCAGCUAAUUUACAUGAAAAGUAUUUCUUGGUUGCUGCCAGGCUUAUUUGUGGAGACUUAGUAGGAUGCUACCUACUCACUGGGUGAGCUGGGAGGUACAGGAACUUCGGCCCCCUCACCUCACACAUUCUGAGGAUUCUUAGGACAUUUGAGUGAAUUUGCUGGAGGUCUGACUGUGUUUCAGGACUCCUUGUUCCAGUUCCUGCAUCACCAAUGCCAUUUUUGGAAGCUCUCUGUACUGUGGUGCAGAGGAGAAAUAUUGAGAACAUUAUCUUGAGACAUUUUUUAAGGGACCCCAAGGAGAGAACAGCAACCACUGCCACUGUAAGAAGCAAGAGCAAUGUGUUUGCAUGGCAUGCAGGCUCCUCAUCAGUAAUAUCAGAGGAAAACCAUAUAUAGCAACAUCAAGUUGUUUCAAAAGCUCAUCUGUUUCUCUUAAAUGCUCUGCUUGACACAGACACAAUUGUGUGUCCUCCUGCUUCUAGAGGGUUCUAUUUUGUUUGGAAACUAUUGGUUUUCUGACUGGCCAGAUGUGGUAGUUUGACUGUAAUUGGCCCCCAUAAACUCAUAGGGAGUGGCACUAUUAGGAGAUAUGACUUUGUUGGAGUAGGUAUAGCCUUGUUGGAGGAGGUGUGUCGUUGGAGGUGGGACUUGAGGUCCCAUAUAUGUUCAAGCCACACCCAGUGUUUCAGACCACAUCCUGUUGCCUGUGGGUCAAGAUGUUUUAACUCUGAGCUCCUUCUCCAGAAUGGUGUCUGCCUAGAUGCCACCAUGUUGCACCAUGAUGAUAAUGGACUAAACCUCUGAAGAUGUAAGCCACCCAACUAAAUGUUUUCCUUUAUGAGAGUUGCUAUGGUCAUUGCAUCUCUUCACAGCAGUGGAAACCCCACCACAGAAACCUCUUGUAGUUUUGUGAAGUUAGAAUAAUCUAACAUCAUUAGUGUCAUCUCUCUGAUUAGUCCUGGUGAUUGAAAGAAUCUGGACCAACCCUCCCUCCAAGACCAGAACAGCAGAACAAAUAGGAUUGUAACUCAACCAAUGGUGAUUAAAUGUUGACAUUAGAAGGUCUGUAGGGAAUUGAAAUGAUUGUUUCAUCAGAAGUCACUAGUGGAUGCUUACUAGCAGAAAUUUGGAGGAAGAAUCUGGUAUGUGGCCAAAUUCUAUACAGAUAAGAAUAAUUUGAUUGCUACGAGCAUGCUAGUCCAAGGACUGAGUAAAACUGCAAAAUAAUUGUCUACUGUUGAUUCCUAUGUGAAAUUUGAAUGUUCCUACUGUAUUCUUCACUUUUCUAUUAUUUUUAGUAAGCCCUUUUUAGGCUCUUCAGAGUGUGAUACCUUAUUCAUUUUCUUACUGUGGAACCGAAGAUCACAACCUAUUUACUUAUUCCCAAAAGUUGACU